UACGUAGGGUGCAAGCGUUAAUCGGAAUUACUGGGCGUAAAGCGUGCGCAGGCGGUGAUGUAAGACAGGUGUGAAAUCCCCGGGCUCAACCUGGGAACUGCAUUUGUGACUGUAUGACUAGAGUACGGUAGAGAGGGGUGGAAUUCCUGGUGUAGCAGUGAAAUGCGUAGAUAUCAGGAGGAACAUCGAUGGCGAAGGCAGCCCCUUGGACCUGUACUGACGCUCAUGCACGAAAGCGUGGGGAGCAAACAGG
rnacentral:rRNA from 1 species